rnacentral:rRNA from 1 species
UCCCAGACUCCUACGGGAGGCAGCAGUGAGGAAUAUUGGUCAAUGGGCGCGAGCCUGAACCAGCCAAGUCGCGUGAGGGAAGACGGUCCUAUGGAUUGUAAACCUCUUUUGUCGGGGAGCAAAAGACGCCACGCGUGGCGUUCCGAGAGUACCCGAAGAAAAAGCAUCGGCUAACUCCGUGCCAGCAGCCGCGGUAAUACGGAGGAUCCGAGCGUUAUCCGGAUUUAUUGGGUUUAAAGGGAGCGUAGAUGGGUUGUUAAGUCAGUUGUGAAAGUUUGCGGCUCAACCGUAAAAUUGCAAUUGAUACUGGCAGCCUUGAGUACAGUUGAGGUAGGCGGAAUUCGUGGUGUAGCGGUGAAAUGCUUAGAUAUCACGAAGAACUCCGAUUGCGAAGGCAGCAUACCGGCGCUCAACUGACGCUCAUGCACGAAAGCGUGGGUAUCGAACAGGAUUAGAUACCCCAGUA